GUCCUGAUGAGAAAAUCAAUUUUUAAAGGGAUCAGGGCAAAUUUUUUCCUCUCCCCGUGCCCCCCUUUAUUCAUUUAAAAAAAAAAUUAUGCCAUCAGAAAAAUCAAGCAUCAGUUACAAAUUCAAAAAUUCAAUAAAAAAUAUCUUGGCGUUCAAAAGAUAUAACCAUUUAAAGUAAAACUAGUCAAAGUGUUACUAAAUUUAUUAUGUAUGUAUGUAUAUGCUUUAGUUAAAAAUCUAACAUAUUUAUUAUUUAUUUGCAUUAAAACUAGCAUAACUUAUAUAGUUAACAUGCCAAACAAGGGAUUGUUUCUCUUCAAGAAAACUUAUUUGUGUUUGCUGUGGUGAUAAGAACUUAAAAUGCACUGAACUGGUAAGUGGAAAUUCUUUACUAGUCUUGAUUCAACUGUAUGCCAACACUAACUAUAAUCUAAUACUCCUUUCCAACCCUAUUGGGUUAUGUCCAAGUUGCAAGAUUUAUUUGUACUUAGCUAAAAAAGGAGAAACUUUAUCACUAGUUACUUUAGAGAGGAGGUUACUCACAGAGAGAAUAAAAUUACUUCCAAGAUUUAAAGGUGAGACAGUGUCAACAUGUGAUUGCCUGCUCUGUAUCAUGUCAAGAGAUAAAUCCAAUUCUAUAAACCUUCCGGAUGUGUUAAACAUGUACAUUAAUGACCCUAAAGUACCAAAGAAGGUUAUAGAUAAAAUUUGUUGUACUUGUUAUCAGAGAAUUGGAUCUGGAAUUCAACAUCCCUGUAAUAAGAGAGACAUUGUACAGAACCUAAAAACACUGCUAAUAUCAACAGGUUUAAAAACAGUUGAGCAAGUACUUAGCAAAUCUCUAAAAUAAAUUCAACAAUUUAAAAGUAUUGAGUUAGACCACACUGUUAAAUUGUCGACUGGUGGAACUCCCUUAAGUCUGCAGAUAGGGAAAAAGCCAACCCUUAAAACUAUCUCUACCCAAACUUUCUAUAAUAUCAAAAGAAAGCAUGAGAUGUCAGACUGUACUAUUGAUUUAAUAGUAAUGGAAUUAAGAAAAGAUUUGGGUAGAUUAAGUGUGGAAUCUAAUUCUUCCAAAAAAAUUAAGAUAAUGUCACAUACCUUAGAUAACUAUUAUUCAGUGGAAAAAGUGGAAUUUUUAUCCAAAAAUAAAGUUAAAGAAAAUAAAACUAUUGAAACUGUCAUUAAAGAUCUAGUGUAUGUCAAAGAUCCAGUAUCUCUAGUUAAUCAUGUUUGCAUUGCUAGGGGACUAGAAAUCGAGAAUGUUAUUAUUCGUGUAGGAAUAGAUAGUGGCCAAGGAUCUUUAAAAGUUAUUAUGAAUGUUUUUAACAGAGAAGUAAAUUAUGACUCCAAAGAAACCAAGAGUACUGGAGUGAACUAAGUUAUAAUAUUGGCUUUUGCCAAAAAUGUUUGCGAAAACCACACAAAUCUUCAAAUUCUUAUAGAAAAAACAAAGCUAAGCAAUUUAAAGUUUUACCUUGCUGCAGAUAUUAAAUUAUGCAACAUAGUUUUGUCAGGACAUGGGGGAAAAUAUUCAUUUUUAUUUUGUGAUGAUGAUAAAACUAAUCUUGGAGAACUGAGAACCUUUAAUAUGCUUAAGAACAUGUAUAAAAACUUUGCUGAAAGUGAAUUUAAAAAAAGCUCUAUGCAACUCUAUAAGAAUGUUAUACAUCCAUGUCUCCUGGUUGAGUCUGGAGAGAUGUAUGUGCUUGAUGUCAUCCCUCCUCCAGAACUUCAUUUAAUGAUGAAGAUUAUAACAGAAAUUUCAAAUGUCUUCUGUAAGGAACCUGAUGUUGCUCUCUGGUUAAAAAAACAUGGAGUUAUUUGGCAUGGGUAUAAUGGAGGUGGACUUGAUGGUAGAAAUGCUAACAAAAUACGGAAGCUUUUGCCAGAUUUGGAAAAAUUUAUCUUAGAUAACUUUUCUUCUUACCAUCAAGUUGUUGAACUGUUAAAGUCUUUUUCUUCAGAUAAAUUUAAAGUUUACUUAAUUUUACAAAGUAUUUAUAUAUUAAAAGUUAAUUAUGAUUUAAAAAGAAAUAUUUAUUGAAUCAAAAGCAAUGUCUCACAAUUGACACUAAAAUUUACAUUUAGUAGUUAACAUUUGUUUUAGAAUGAAACUCCAUGACGGUUAUGCUGAUGCUAUUGCAACAUAUAUAAGAAAGUUAAAGGAAAACCAAGAGUAUGCGAAGACUACAUUCAACCACAAUCUUUCUAUGGGAUGGAAAGGUCAUAUAAUUGAACACCAUCUUGUCAUGUUUUUAAAUAGAACUAAGCUGCCAUUGGAAGUAUUUUCUGAGCAAUGUUCUGAAUCUGUUCAUCAUAAUAUGUUGAAAACACUGAGCAGAUUCUCAACUUCAGAAUUCAGAGAAAACCAUGGAGAGCUU
rnacentral:lncRNA from 1 species